rnacentral:rRNA from 1 species
UACGUAGGUGGCAAGCGUUGUUCGGAAUUAUUGGUCGUAAAGGGCGCGUAGGCGGCUUGUUAAGUCGGUUGUGAAAGCCCGGGGCUCACCCCCGGAAGUGCAUUGGAAACUGGGAGGCUAGAGUACCGGAGAGGAAGAUGGAAUUCCUGGUGUAGCGGUGAAAUGCGUAGAUAUCAGGAGGAACACCGGUGGCGAAGGCGGCCUUCUGGACGGAUACUGACGCUGAGACGCGAAAGCGUGGGGAGCAAACAGG